UCAAGCCAAGGACCACUGGGAGCGAGCAGAGGGAGAUCCAGAGGAGACCAUUAGAUUUGGCACCAACGAGGUUACGGAUGCUCUCGAUGGAACCAGUGUCCUUCAGGUGUUGGGAGCAGAAGCCAGUUGGACUCGAAAAAUCUGAGUGGAAGAGGAAGUGGAGGAGGCAUCCUAAAUUCUGACUUUCACUGAAUCAGAACCAGGACACAGGUGAGCAAAGUCUGUCUGCUUAUCACACGGACAGGUGCUUUCCAGAAGCUUCCCAGGCCCAGUGGAUCCUGAAAGUUACUGGUGAAACUAUCCAGACACGCAUGACUCUUCUUUGCUUCUUCCAGGGUGUCUUCUGAGCGGAAGGCUCCCUGGAGUCCACUGGGCACCAGACUGGGCAGUUCUGGAAUCAGACCGCGGGGCUCCAACCCCAGCUUUGCGACUUGCCGGCCGUGUGGCUUACCCAAGUCACUUCUGGGUCUUGGUUUACUCUCCGGAUAAAAGCAGGGCCUGACUUAGGAAGGUCGUCGCAAGACAGGCCACACAAAACUCCUGGACCAGAGCCUGACCCGUCCCAGCGGGCGGCACUCCCACCCCCAGCGCAGCGCCCACCGAGGGGCGACUUUCCGGGACAGUUGAAGGCGGUGCAAACGGGAACACGUGGUGUGUGGUGA